GGUUAAGCGACUAAGCGUACACGGUGGAUGCCCUGGCAGUCAGAGGCGAUGAAGGACGUGCUAAUCUGCGAAAAGCGCCGGCGAGGUGAUAUGAACCCUUGACCCGGCGAUGUCCGAAUGGGGAAACCCAGUGCAAUCCGUUGCACUAUCGUUAACUGAAUACAUAGGUUAACGAGGCGAACCGGGGGAACUGAAACAUCUAAGUACCCCGAGGAAAAGAAAUCAACCGAGAUU
rnacentral:rRNA from 1 species